GACGAACGCUGGCGGCGCGCUUAACACAUGCAAGUCGAACGGAAAGGCCUGCCUUCCCUUGUGGAUUGCGGGUACUCGAGUGGCGAACGGGUGAGUAACACGUGAGUGAUCUGCCCCCAACUUGGGUAUAAGCCUGGGAAACUGGGUCUAAUUCCCGAUAGGACUGCAGGGUGGUGCCUGUGGUGGAAAACGAUUUUCUAGUGGUUGGGGAUGAGCUCGCGGCCUAUCAGCUUGUUGGUGGGGUAAUGGCCUACCAAGGCGGCGACGGGUAGCCGGCCUGAGAGGGUGGACGGCCACAUUGGGACUGAGAUACGGCCCAGACUCCUACGGGAGGCAGCAGUGGGGAAUAUUGCACAAUGGGCGGAAGCCUGAUGCAGCGACGCCGCGUGGGGGAUGACGGCCUUCGGGUGGUAAACUCCUUUCGACCGCGAGGAAGCCACCUGGUUGGAAGGGUGGUGACGGUAGUGGUAGAAGAAGCACCGGCUAACUACGUG
rnacentral:rRNA from 1 species